rnacentral:lncRNA from 1 species
GGGGGGACCAGGGUGGUAGGGUGCAAGCGUGAUGAGCAUGUUUCUCAAUGAUCUCCCUGUAACCUGGUCCUGGUGACGUACAUCUUUUCAUUCUCCUUAUUCUCUUUCCUAUCACCCGAGCAAAGAGGCUUAUCUUGGGUGUGUGACAUCAUAGACAUCUCCUUGGUGUGUGGAGUGAGGCAUAGCUACCCUUUCCUAUCGAACGGUGCCUCUCAGCACAGCUUCCGCUGCUUGCCCUGGAAGGACACCACGGGUGGUUGGGUGGCUUGAAGUGCCAUGGCCAUGCGUUUCCGGGCGAGAUGAGCCUAUCUCACUUUUCCUGGUGUUAUCUCGCCUUUUAGCACAUUGAGCACUCAGCAGGGCCACGCUAAGUAAGAGGCGGAUGCAUGGGUUUCCUUCCAUGGCCACCCCAACGCAGGGCGAUCGUUCCAUCUCAGGGCCCACGCUAGCCAGAUAAUGGGGGAAGAGAGAACAAGCUGGGAUUUGCUCCCUGAAUCAUCUGAAUCAUCUGCCAGCUGUCUGCACAACCCGAGAGGCAGACCUGACCGGCUUUCAUGGUGAACCAUGAUGUUAGGAGAAGGGAACUCCAGCCGGACGAGUCAGUCCCAGGCGAGCUCUUCAGGCAGCAGCAUCCGGAGGCUUCAUCGUCUGGACUGCACAUGGAACACACUCUGUCUGGAAGUCACUAGAAGAAUAGGAGUCAUCUUUUACAGGAAAAAAAAAUUUUUUUCCCAACACACGAAGGGCAAAAAAAUGAGACCCAUGGGAAAUGAUUUCUUCACAACGCGGCUAUUUAAUUGAUCUAUUUGGAAAUCUUCUACCAUGUUGCUGCAUGCUAAUUGGAAGUCGUUUUAAAGCGGAAUCAGCUUGGAUCACAAUUGAUUUAAUGCAGUGUAGCUGGCCGGCCCAACUUGGGAGGAAAGUGUGCAUGAAAACCCUGCUUUUACAAGCCCCGUGGAGAGAGCAGUUAUUUGGAUGAGGCAGAACAGCAGUCUAGAAGGCCAGUGAUGACACAGACCUUGGCGGCCUUUCAGAAGUGACAGCCACGUCUUCAGUUACACUCCUCACGCCCCUCCGGUGUGGGGCAACAGAUCAGUGGAGCGCCCUCUGCCCACAAACCCUCCCCUCCGGAGCCUCCCCCACCCCGGUUUCCAUGUUCAAAAUGUGCCUCCUGGAAAGAUGGAUCGAAAAACUCCCAAUUGGUUUGGCCUUUUCAAAGAGUCCCUAAGAUUCGGAUUACUUCGGGAGGAGGAUUAGAUGGGCUUCACUGAAAGAUGACGCCUUGGGACUUUGUGAGCUCAUCUGUGAGUAUGAAAUCCUGGUGGAAAACAAGAAUGAUGCCCAAGCCAGACUCCUGGUAUUGUAGUAAGAUCAUCAGAACGGAGAAACAGGGAGAGAGAGCAGGACCAGCCUGAGCUGGGCUACACGGACCUUGCCUUUCACCUUGAACGUGUCCUAUGUAAGGGACCAAUCUCUGAUCCCGAGGUACUCUGUCUGCUGGACUCACGCUGCAGUUCAGGAAGGGAGUGUGGUUGCUUGCCACAUAUAGGUGGUAUUAACUGUAAAAAACCAAGAGGAUAAUUUUGCCUCCCCAGAUAGCCGCUGAACUUGGUUGCACCAUAACCGCAUAUUAGGAACCCACCCCUCCGACCCUCCACAGCCCCCUUCUCCAGCUAGUACUUUCUCCCCCACACUAUUCUUCAUUAAUAUUCGAAGUGCAUUUAUCGAUGUAAAUGUUUAAUGAGCGAUUUAGGAAGCAGAUACUGUAUAUAAAGCCACGGGAGAAGGUCUGGAGUAGGACAUUUCUUGUGGCAUCGUGGAGUCAUCGAAAUAAAUGAAUAGUGACAAAGUGUGACCGUGUAAUA